GACGAACGCUGGCGGCGUGCUUAACACAUGCAAGUCGAACGGAAAGGCCCUGCUUUUGUGGGGUGCUCGAGUGGCGAACGGGUGAGUAACAAGUGAGUAACCUGCCCUUGACUUUGGGAUAACUUCAGGAAACUGGGGCUAAUACCGGAUCGGAGCUCCUGCUGCAUGGUGGGGGUUGGAAAGUUUCGGCGGUUGGGGAUGGACUCGCGGCUUAUCAGCUUGUUGGUGGGGUAGUGGCUUACCAAGGCUUUGACGGGUAGCCGGCCUGAGAGGGUGACCGGCCACAUUGGGACUGAGAUACGGCCCAGACUCCUACGGGAGGCAGCAGUGGGGAAUAUUGCACAAUGGGCGGAAGCCUGAUGCAGCAACGCCGCGUGCGGGAUGACGGCCUUCGGGGUGUAAACCGCUUUCGCCUGUGACGAAGCGUGAGUGACGGUAAUGGGUAAAGAAGCACCGGCUAACUACGUG
rnacentral:rRNA from 1 species